CAUCCCCAGCCGCCUCCGGUGGAGGGGGGCCGGGGGCGGCUUUGCCCCCUCGUACCCCAAGCCGCUCCCAUUGGUGGGCCGGGGCCUCUCCAUCCUACUCCCGUUGGGGGCUGGGGCCGCGGCCGGUGUCACUGACACAUUCCCCCGGAGAGCUGUUUAACCCUUCAUACCCCGCGCCUCCCUGGCUGGGCCCGAGGCUGCACUGGGAGGUUAAUAAUUCACCCCGGGGGGGGGGGGUUGUGGUCCUCCAGGGGGCAAGUUGUGCCAUUAAGUUUCAUGCAGUCCUAAGCCUGGAGCCCAGGGCACUUGCAUGGGUCAUGGCAGGGUGGAAUAUGGCUCUGAGUGAUCCCUUCCCAGAGAGGAUACAGAGGUUAUUUUCACUGUGGCACCUGUGGUUUCCUCUGAUUGGGAAAUAUCCCUGGUAUACAAGGGGCAGGCUGGGGAUUAAAUUGCUUUCGCGUUUUAAUUUUUCCUAUAACCGGUGAGUUUUUGUUUGCUUUCAAAAUCUGGUCACAGCGUGUGGGCCCUGCUGUUGCACUAAUCUAAGCAAAAUUCUUAGACCUAAUUAAGAGCUGUUACUUUUCUGGUUGCAGUUUGAUAUUUAGGGAUAAUGAUCCAAAUUCUACAUAUAGUAAAUCCAGAGUAACCCCACUGAUUUUAGUGCAGCUAAACGGUUUGACUGAUUGCAACAUCAAGCUCAAUGACUCUAGGAGAGCAUAUGUUCCACUCUGUCUGUUGGGCAACGAAGGGGCCAUAGAUUCCCAUCUCGCUAGUGGCCACCUAGGCCUUAAAUUGUUAAUGAUCAUAUGAUAAACAGCCUACUUAGUUCUCUUGGUCUGGGAUUAAAUUCCUAAACAUCGACUGGUGUAUCCCUCCAUUUAUGUGGGCAAAGGGGUGGAAACCCACCCUGCUUUAUGGCAUUCUCCCCCUAAACCUAGAGAAUACCCUUUGUAUUGAUAGGGGUUUACAGGCUAGCAGGCAGCAGGCCAGAAUGGAUUAAUGUAGUUCCUAUCCAGAGCAGGUUUUCUUCAUGUUCCCUGCCACUUAGACCACCAUUAACGCAUAUGGCAUGGGCUAUUUGUGCAACUGCAGUGGGAGCAGGCUCUCCUCUCAUGGUAGAGUAGGUUGAUGGUGGUUGUGUAAAGAUUUCCAAGUCUGGGUGGAGAUCUGCAAGGGUUGGGUUUCCAUUUGCAACAAAUCCCUUGCCUAAUAGUUAUGCUGAUUUCUUUCUCAUGUUGAUGAGGUGGCAUGCACCCCUCACUGAGAUACAUACUGCAUUUUUUUCCCCCCUCAGACGUGUUUCUCUUCAUGAGGUGUCGGUUAUAGGUAUUAUUUAAACCUAUUAAAUAGGUAUUAUUUUGGGUCUGACUCUUUGUUUCCUACCUUUGCAGAGGUGUAGCUAAGGACAGAAUUUGAGGACAAUCAGGUUGUGUAUGUGUAACUUAAAGCAGCUGUUGGCCCACAAAAUCGGUGUGACACACAUCAGAAACUAUCCAGCUUGAAAAUUCAGGCUGUAGUAGAGCGGAGUGUGCAAAACCAGACAUGUUUGGGUUUGCACAGGUGACAGAAACCUUAUUUUUUGUAAAUGAACAAAUGUGAUACAAAAAUCAGCCAGAGCUCCACAAUGCCAUUUUCACAACUACUUUUCAGAGUAGUACUGCACUUUAAAUGUUUACCUUUUCUCAUAUUCUAUUUGUUAUAUUCGGUUACAGAUGUUAGAUACAGAAAAUAUCUAUUAGGUCAGCCAGUCACUGCUGACUCAGUCAAGAGAGGCAAUACUUUACAUAAACUGAUGCUUUUUCUGUGCAACAGUUCCAUGGUGUUGUGAGAAACCAGAGUCAGGUCAGGAAGCUUAGAGAAAGCACACUGAACCACUUUCUAUGUAUUGCUGUUGUCCUGGUUUGAGACGAGGAAACGUAUGCACUUGAACAACCGGAAGCUCAGUAAUGUCCUGAGUGUGAAAAAGGAACUCUGUCUUAUGCCAGCUGCCAUCUUGUAUCUGCAGUUCAUGGAAUUAGAGAGAGUAUUAAAUACAUAUCAAACUAUCAAUUUCAAAACAUAGAGAGAAUCUAGAACUCAAGGAACCAGAGAAGCAAAUGAAAGAUCUAUUCUCUUGUCAAUGCAUGGAACAGCUAUGUGACUUCCCCCCCCCCCCCCCCCCCCAGGACCGUCUCCCAAUCCAUUGAAGAAAGAACAUCUGUCAAAAUUCUAACUUGCUAUAAAGCUUGAUGGGGGCUUGAACUAUGAGACUAAUACAUUUCUAUAUUGUCUAGGCUUCUGCUUGGAUUUAAUAUGCAUUCUUAGGAGUUAUGGGGAAAUCAGAUCCAUCUUUUGUCAUGAACUUGUUAUUUUAAUUUUUAGAAAAUCUCAAUAAAAACUGUUACCUUAUAAAAAUAUAAAAUAACAAUAUAACACUGUUUGGGGAUGUGGGAGUCUUGAUGUUUGCAGUCACUCCUUUCUUGCCCAACCAGUCAAAGCAGCAGGUACAGUGGAGACCGUUGAAAAGUGAAAUCCCUGCAGGAAGGGAUAAGUGAGAUUCUGCAGGAAAUCUGUACAGUACAUAGUUUCAGAAGAGAGAGAGAUAUCUCAUAGAAUCUCACGGAAAAACUACACUUUUCAAAAGCCAUCACUGUAUGUCUUACCUUCUUCCAGAACAAAAACCCAAAUCUGAUGUACUUCUAUAAAUAUAGGGCCUGAUUCUUCAUUGCUUUUCACUUUUUGCAGUAAUUUAUACCAGUGCAAACUGCUCCCGGUCUAAGUGUGUUGAAAAUUCUGAUCUGGUAACAUUUUAUACCCAUUUAAUACAGUUUCCAGUUUGAAAUGCACCUGUCGUCAUGCCAUCUGUCUGUACACAGAUCUCCCAGUGAAUUGGAAAGAGUUCCACCCUUGGAAUGAUGAUAGGAUAAGGCUAAGUCCUUUGUUCUCUUUAGCACAGUAUAGAAUUGGAUAUUUUAGGCUCUCUGUAAUAAAAAUAUAUUGCUACAAGCAUCAGUGGUAAAGGCAACGUCUUGCCUGUUAAUGGAGUUGAUCUAAUAAUUAUUGGAAUUUUAUUAGAUUUUUUCAAGUUCAAAAACAUUUAUUUUAGCCAAUGAAAGUCCAUCAUUGUCCAUCAUCAGUUUAUUACAUAAGUAGAUAAUUGCCCUGUAACUAGUGAAGUUAAUGACAUUCAGUCAUCAAAAGAUUAACUUCUAGCCUGUAAUGAACUUGCCCUCUUCCAGCAGUUUGGUUUUAUUCAGAUAACAUCAUCAGAAUAUAUAGCUCAGCCUAAGCUUUCACCCCAUGCCUGGCUGUUCCAGGAUUUCCUGAAGAACCUCCAUGUACCUUCCCUAAGUUGCAUCUGAAGAGAGGGUCCUGUUACCUUAACAAGCAGGGUCCACUGAGUGUGAUGCUAAGAGCAAAGACAGAUUCCCUGCAUAACUGCAAUUGCUGUUAGCAUUUGGAUAUAUCUUGAAUUUAAUAUAAAAUGGUCAACAUAUGGAGAGACUUGCUAAAAAAUAUGAGAAGUGUGCUUCAUGUUAUGAAAAUCUAAAUGACUCUUGUAACGAUAGAAGGAAAAAUAAAUGCCCAAAACUUAUAUUUAUUGUUAUUAAUUUAAUAACGCCAAAAUAUAUUUACCAUGCAUUCGUCUGUAAGCACCUUUGGUUCAAGUAGUGUAUUUGCUUCAAACAUUUGACCAUUCCAGCCUUUGAAGCUAACAGAUGUUUUCUGAGCAUCUGCCGCAUUUGUUCCCCACACUGGCGUGUUCAGACAGUGAACAGUGAUGGUAUGGGUUGCUUCUGAGCUCAGUAAAUGAAGAAAGUUCAUCUGCACUUUUCCAACUCCAAACUCCAACUAGUUUACAAAAAUGCAUUGUUAGACAUAACAGUUGUAUCAUGCUCAAUGGCCAACAAUCAGAAAGAUUUUGGCAAUAUAAAUACAGCACUUAUAGAGGAUAUUAACUGUACCAGUUAAUUUGGUUGACAAACCAAAAUGCAUAUGUCUCCUGCUUUCUUCAGAAGACUUGUCAGGUGUGUGUAUAUAUAUAUAUACGUACAAGAGUAGAAUCCUAUCAUCAUCAUAAUGAAUGAAUACAGUUGUACACAAGUCUAUACAGUAUAUACACUUGUAUAACUUACAUUUUCAGAGCUUGUUAUAAAAUUAAUUAAUUCUCAGUAUACCCCUGAAAUGUAGGUAGGUAGAUAUCCUUAUUUUGCAGAUAGGAAACUGAUUCAAAGAACGGUUAAGUGAUUCAAAGGAAGAUAUGCACAGAAAGAAGUGAGAGUUUGGAUCAGAGUUCAGAAGUUCUUUGCUCCCGGUCUUGUUUUCAGUCCAUUAUAUUGCUCUGCCUCUCAACACUUAGAUUUUAUUAAUAACCUGAGAUAUUGCAAGACAGAGAGAGAGAGGCGAUAUAUAUUGAGCUAUAUAUGGAAAAUGUAAUUUUUCUUUCAUUAUUCUUAAUACAUAUUUGCAAGAAGAAGUAUAUAUAGAGGCCAACCUAUGCCCCCUAAAUCUGUACACACAGAAGACCCUCUAUGCACAGAUCUCACCCCUCCUAAUCAGAGAGGCGUGUCAGUUGCUUGUGCUGCACCAUCCUCCAGGCCUUGUGAAGGACUCUCCCCAGGAUUGGAAUCUGCCUAGAAAAGAGAGGGCAGGGACUGGACAGUUAGUAGGUGGUGCAUGUUGGGUGAGGACUAAACCUUGAAAAUAUAAUACAUUUCUGUGGUGUCCUCCAUAAUGGGGAAAUGCCCUUGAAGAGGGAUACUGGGGGAAGCAAUGGCUAGGGAGUGUCCUUGCUCCUGUGGAUCCUCCAGUGGAGCUGUACUGAUUGGCAGAGAGAGUAGGAUGUUCUGGAGAUACAGUUGGCAUAAAGGACACAGGUGCUCCACAUAGACAGCAUCCCAGGGGGCUCUAUGGAGUAUGGGGCAGAACCAUGGCUCAUUCUAUUGGAAUGGGAAGGCCCAACCUGAAUAACAAUGUGGGAGAAACCCAAUGAGGGGAAACACUUGGCUUUUUCCUCCCAUGGGCAAUCUGGUCCACAGCCCUACAGAUGUGGUACAGUACAGUUCAGUUAAAGUACGUAGGCAAAACUCCACAGAAAAUCAAGUCCUCAUUCCAAAAGGCUUGCAAUCUAAAUGUAAAUAGAUGUUAGGAUGCAUUUAGUGAAAUGAAAAGAAAACCAGUUUGUACUGAAUACUUUGGUUACAUGUUCAAGAGCAGAGACCCUGAUGUCAAUUCACAUUUUAAUGAUGACUACAGUGCGCAAUACAGGUAUGGGGCAUUUAAAAUAUUAUAGACAGAUUAAAGAGAAGCCCAUAAAGGUAGUCACAUAGAGAUGUAUAUGAAAAGAAACAAAUAAUCAAAUGAAACAGAGGAACACAGAUCUAAUUUAUGGUGAAAUAAAGAUGGUUAGCACUGAGAAAUCUGAGAUGCCAGCAUGCAUUGGGUGGGUCAGUGUUCACUUAUUCAGAGUUUAAGCACAGAAACAUAGCCUAAUGAGAAGCAAUGCAUACCUUUGUCACAGAUACAGGUGAUACACAUGUCUGGCCACCAGCAGUAAAGUUGCAGAAAACCUCAAUGGCAUCAGAAGGACAUCCAAUAUUUGGGUCAAUCCAGUAUUUUCCUAUCAAGUUAUAAUCCCAGAUAAAAGGUAAAAAAAGAUAUAACUGCUGUUAAACAAUUUUCUGAAUAAAAUUUCCAUAAUUUUUGGCAAAUGUUAGAAG